rnacentral:other from 1 species
GAACCCCUGUGGUAUUCGUGAGGACACAAACUUCCUGAGCCGAUACUAUUGAACCCGGGAAGCCCGCACUGGUCGUGGAGUGCCAGCCCAAGCGGCAAGCCGGAAGCGGUUAUCGGGCGUCCACCUAAAAUUACGGGUUCAAGAAGCUUGUCUCUAACGGUACUCGCGGGGGCUUU